GCGCGGUUAGCUCAGUGGUAGAGCACUACAAUGACACUGUAGGGGUCACAGGUUCAAAUCCUGUACCGCGCACCA
rnacentral:tRNA from 3 species